CCCGAUCUCCAUCACUCACGUAACACUUGGCCACAUAACAAAAAGCCAGUCUCCUCAUGGCUACAUCGCAAGCGCACCGAGGAAGUUUUCUAUCUACGGAAUUAGGACCAUGGCUGAGGAAGGGAUCUUUCUGGGAAGACUUGCUUAUGAUCAAGACGGUGCAGCAUUUCAGACCUUCAAACUGCCUAAACCAGACAGCGGUGUUUUCAGAUAUGUGAAGUUACAGAUUGAGAACAACUGGGGAAACAUUGACAACACCUGCCUCUACAGCUUCAGG